rnacentral:rRNA from 1 species
GUGAAUACAUAGCGUGAGGAAGGCAGACCCAGGGAACUGAAACAUCUAAGUACCUGGAGGAAGAGAAAGAAAAAUCGAUUUCCUGAGUAGCGGCGAGCGAAACGGAAAGAGCCCAAACCAAGAAGCUUGCUUCUUGGGGUUGUAGGACACUCUAUACGGAGUUACAAAAGAAAGUUAUAAAUGAAGCGGUCUGGAAAGGCCCGCCAAAGACGGUAACAGCCCGGUAGUUGAAAUGGCUUUCCCUCCAGAGUGGAUCCUGAGUACGGCGGAACACGUGAAAUUCCGUCGGAAUCCGGGAGGACCAUCUCCCAAGGCUAAAUACUCCCUAGUGACCGAUAGUGAACCAGUACCGUGAGGGAAAGGUGAAAAGCACCCCGGAAGGGGAGUGAAACAGUUCCUGAAACCGUGU